CUACGGGUCGCUGCAGUGGGGAAUAUUGCGCAAUGGGGGAAACCCUGACGCAGCGACGCCGCGUGGAUGAUGAAGGCCUUAGGGUCGUAAAAUCCUGUCAGGUGGGAAGAAGUGGAUAUAGAUUAAUACUCUAUUUCUUUGACGGUACCACCAAAGGAAGCACCGGCUAACUCCGUGCCAGCAGCCGCGGUAAUACGGAGGGUGCAAACGUUGUUCGGAAUUAUGGGCGUAAAGCGCGCGUAGGCGGUUUGUUAAGUCAGAUGUGAAAGUCCAUGGUUCAACUAUGGAAGUGCAUUUGAAACUGGCAGACUUGAGUACUGGAGGGGGUGAUGGAAUUCCCGGUGUAGAGGUGAAAUUCGUAGAUAUCGGGAGGAAUACCGGUGGCGAAGGCGAUCACCUGGCCAGAUACUGACGCUGAGGUGCGAAAGCGUGGGGAGCAAACAGGAUUAGAUACCCCCGUAGUC
rnacentral:rRNA from 1 species